GCGUGGGUAAUCUACCCUCGAAUUCGGGAUAACAGUUCGAAAGGAUUGCUAAUACCGGAUAACAUCAUGUUUUUUUUUGGAUUACAUGAUCAAAGGUGGCCUCUCCAUGGAAGCUUCUGUUUGAGGAUGAGCCCGCGUACCAUUAGCUAGUUGGUGGGGUAAAGGCCUACCAAGGCGACGAUGGUUAGCUGGUCUGAGAGGAUGAUCAGCCACACUGGAACUGACACACGGUCCAGACUCCUACGGGAGGCAGCAGUGAGGAAUUUUGCGCAAUGGGCGAAAGCCUGACGCAGCAACGCCGCGUGAGUGAUGAAGGCCCUCGGGUCGUAAAACUCUGUCAAGUGGGAAGAACCCACAUAAGGCUAAUAUACUUAUGUGCUGACGGUACCACUGAAGGAAGCACCGGCUAACUCCGUGCCAGCAGCCGCGGUAAUACGGAGGGUGCAAGCGUUAUUCGGAAUUAUUGGGCGUAAAGGGCGCGUAGGCGGCCUUGUAAGUCAGAUGUGAAAGCCCGGGGCUCAACCCCGGAAGUGCAUUUGAUACUGCAGGGCUUGAGUAUGGGAGAGGGUAGUGGAAUUCCUGGUGUAGAGGUGAAAUUCGUAGAUAUCAGGAGGAACACCGGUGGCGAAGGCGACUACCUGGACCAAUACUGACGCUGAG
rnacentral:rRNA from 1 species